ACAUCCCGGUGACCGCCCUAGAGAUAGGGUUUCCCUUCGGGGCACCGGUGACAGGUGGUGCAUGGUUGUCGUCAGCUCGUGUCGUGAGAUGUUGGGUUAAGUCCCGCAACGAGCGCAACCCUUACUGUUAGUUGCUACGCAAGAGCACUCUAGCAGGACCGCCGUUGACAAAACGGAGGAAGGUGGGGAUGAUGUCAAAUCAUCAUGCCCCUUAUGACCUGGGCCUCACACGUACUACAAUGGCCGUUAACAGAGGGAAGCAAGACCGCGAGGUGGAGCAAAACCCCAAAAACGGUCUCAGUUCGGAUCGUAGGCUGCAACCCGCCUGCGUGAAGUUGGAAUUGCUAGUAAUCGCGGAUCAGCAUGCCGCGGUGAAUACGUUCCCGGGCCUUGUACACACCGCCCGUCACACCAUGGGAGCCGGUAAUACCCGAAGUCAGUAGCCUAACCGCAAGGGGGGCGCUGCCGAAGGUAGGAUUGGCGACUGGGGUGAAGUCGUAACAAGGUAGCCGUAUCGGAA
rnacentral:rRNA from 1 species